rnacentral:misc_RNA from 1 species
UCCUGGUUUCCCAGGCAGUCCCAUCAGAGUGCCCUCUUACGAGGUAGCAACUGACAGCAGGGGUUGCGCUCGUUGUAGGACUUAACCCAACAUCUCACGACACGAGCUGACGACAGCCAUGCAGCACCUGUGCUGGCGCUCCGAAGAGGGGCCGAUGUUUCCACCAGCUUUCACCAGUAUGUCAAGCCCAGGUAAGGUUCUUCGCGUUGCGUCGAAUUGAACCACAUACUCCACCGCUUGUGCGGGCCCCCGUCAAUUUCUUUGAGUUUUAAUCUUGCGACCGUACUCCCCAGGCGGCACGUUUAACGCGUUAGCUCCGGCGCAGAAGGGGUCGAAUCCUCCCACACCAAACGUGCACCGUUUACUGCCAGGACUAC